CAAGUGAGCUGGAGAAGGAAGUGGCACACCAUUCCAGUGUCUUUGCCAAGAGAAUCCAAUGGACGGUAGUGGUGUGCUAUGGUCACAAAGAAUCUAUGUGACUGAACAGAUUCUUAUUGAGUCUACAGAAGAGCAUUGCCUUCUGGACUCUGACACAGAGGAGUUAUCAAACCAAGCCAGGCAAAGGGGAAGGCAGCCUCGGUCAAACACCCCAAAGGAGGGAGAGAUAAAAACUGAGAAGUUCACUUCAACCUUGACAGAUUGCAUAAGAAUGAUCAGAAGCAGAAAGUGGUUCAAGACAGAUAGUAUUAUCAUUCCCUCUGAGUCACAAAUGAUUUCCUGACUAAAUUCUGAGAAUUUAGCAAUAAAACAUUUCCUUCUUUCUACAGAAUGUAGGGUUUGGCUUAUUUAGAAGGGCUGCAAGUCCAAGGCUGUUCGAAAGGUAUCUCCAGUUCAGUCUCUUUUUAUCUCCCAGAAGCCUCCUCCAGUUGCUCAGAGAACCACCACUCUGUAGGGGCAGUUCUACAGUGGAAGGAAUCAUGACUUAGCUUUCUUUGCUCUUCAAAGAUCUGAUUGUGCCAAGUGACCAAGGCUCACUUGACUGGAAAUGGUAUAAUAAAUCAGUGUUACAAAUCCUAAUGCCAAUCUUGCUGUACCGUGAGCCUAGCUUGGGUCACCACCCAAUACCUCUGUUUCCUCCCUCACUCAGAUCAAAGUCAAUUGCAAGUCAUAUCAUCAUCUCCCUGAUGUCAUGGUCCUCUUUCAGAACAAAAGACAAACCACAACACAACCACAUCCUUCUGUUUGCACAGUUUACACCUUGUAUCUGCAGAAUCAUUUGCAUGUUGUCUCCCCCAUUAGAAUACUGAUACUUGAAAGCUGGAAGUGAGUUUUUGCCUUUCUUUGUAUACACAGCACUUUAUAUAAUGCCCUGUACAAAAUAAAUCCUUAAGAAAUG